UCCGGAUCUCUGGGGAUGGGGACACAAGGAGUGGGGAAAAGCGGAACCCGGCUAGGGGGCCAGUACAGAAAGCCGCCAGCUUCUGGGAGCCUAAGCAACUCGCUUUCUACCGCUGAGGUGAGGCCUCGAUGGAGAGGUUCCUGGCCCGGUUGUGCGGCACCAGCGAGUUGCAGCCGCUCCCAGUGUGGGAGGGGGACACCACCGGCCACUGCUUCACGCAGCUGGUGCUCAGCGCCCUUCCCCACACGCUCCUGGCCGUGCUCAGUGCUUGCCACUGGGGCCACCCGAGGAAUCCAGAUUACGCCCCACACUGCAGUCCCGGCUGGCGCCUCCGACUCGCAGCCUCUGUUCUGCUCGCCGUCUUUCCACUGCUCGACCUGCUUCCAGUCAUUUUGCCACCAGGGGCAGGCCCAGGGCCCACAGGGCUUGAGGUGCUGGCAGGGGGCGUGGCGGCCGUGGCCUGGGUCAGCCACAGCCUGGCCCUGUGGGUGUUGGCUCAUGCCCCAUAUGGCCGCUCCCGGGGGCCCCUGGCCUUGGCUCUGGCUGCCUUCCUGCCGGCCCCAGCCCUGGUGCUGACCCUGCUGUGGCACUGCCAGCGAGGCACACUCCUGCCACCGCUUCUCGCAGGGCCCCUCUCCCGCCUGUGUCUCCUCAUCCUGCAACUGGCUGCUCUCUUGGCCUAUGGACUGGGCUGGGCAGUCCCCGGGCGGCCACGGGAACCCUGGGCCCAUGAGCCCCUCCUCUCUGAGGGCCAGGAGCCCGAGGUGGCUGAAGAUGGGGAGAGCUGGCUGUCCCGCUUUUCCUAUGCCUGGCUGGCACCGUUGCUGGCCCGCGGGGCCCGGGGAGAGCUCCGGCAGCCCCAGGACACUUGCCACCUCCCCCGCAGGCUGCACCCGACCUACCUAGCCCGUGUCUUCCAGGUGCAGUGGCAGGAGGGGGCCCGGCUGUGGAGGACCCUGUAUGGGGCCUUUGGGCACUGCUACCUGGCUCUUGGACUGCUCAAGCUGGUGGGGACCAUGCUGGGAUUCUCAGGGCCCUUGUUGCUGUCCCUCCUGGUGGGCUUCCUGGAGGAAGGGCAAGAGCCACUAAACCACGGCCUGCUAUAUGCCCUGGGGCUUACCGGAGGAGCCAUUCUGGGAGCCGUGCUGCAGAAUCAGUAUGGGUAUGAAGUUCGGAAGGUGGCUCUUCAGGCACGGGGGUCUGUGCUGAACAUCCUGUACCGAAAGGCUUUACAGCUGGGGCCCAGACGCCCUCCUGCCGGGGAGGUCCUGAACUUACUAGGCACCGACUCUGAGCGGCUGCUCAACUUUGCUGGGAGCUUUCAUGAGGCCUGGGGCCUGCCCCUGCAACUGGCCAUCACCCUCUAUCUGCUGUACCAGCAGGUGGGUGUGGCCUUCGUGGGUGGUCUGAUCCUGGCGCUGCUGCUGGUACCCGUCAACAAAGUGAUUGCCACCCGCAUCAUGGCCAGCAACCAGGAGAUGCUACAGCACAAAGACGCACGGGUUAAGCUCGUGACAGAGCUGUUGAGUGGCAUGCGUGUCAUCAAGUUCUUCGGGUGGGAGCAGGCGCUGGGGGCCCGCGUGGAGGCCUGCCGAGCUCGAGAGCUGGGGCGACUCCGGGUCAUCAAGUACCUGGAUGCGGCCUGUGUGUACCUGUGGGCUGCCCUGCCGGUCGUCAUCUCCAUCGUCAUCUUUAUCACCUAUGUCCUCACGGGGCACCAGCUCACUGCCACCAAGGUGUUCACUGCCCUGGCACUGGUGCGCAUGCUCAUUCUUCCCCUCAACAACUUCCCUUGGGUGAUCAACGGCCUCCUUGAGGCCAAAGUGUCCCUGGACCGGAUCCAGCAUUUCCUCGACCUUCCCAACCAUGACCCCCAGGCCUACUACAGCCCAGAUCCCCCGACAGAGCCAUCUGCAGCCCUGGAGCUACACGAAGCUCUGUUCUCCUGGGACCCAGUUGGAACCAGCCAGGAAACCUUCAUCAGUCACCUCGAAGUGAAAAAGGGAAUGCUGGUGGGCAUCGUGGGGAAGGUGGGCUGCGGGAAGAGCUCGCUGCUGGCCGCCAUCACCGGGGAGCUGCACAGGCUCUGUGGGCAGGUGGCAGUGUGGGGACUGUCCAAAGGCUUCGGCCUGGCCACCCAGGAGCCCUGGAUCCAGUUUGCCACCAUCCGAGACAACAUUCUCUUUGGGAAGACAUUUGACGCCCAGCUGUACAAGGAAGUGCUGGAGGCCUGCGCCCUCAAUGAGGACCUCAGUAUCCUGCCUGCUGGGGACCAGACGGAGGUGGGGGAGAAAGGCGUGACCCUCAGCGGGGGACAGCGGGCCCGGAUUGCCCUGGCUCGUGCUGUCUACCAGGAAAAGGAGCUGUACCUCCUCGAUGACCCUCUGGCUGCCGUGGAUGCAGACGUGGCCACCCACCUGCUGCACAGGUGCAUCCUGGGAGUGCUGAGCCACACCACGCGGCUGCUGUGCACCCACCGCACUGAGUACCUGGAGCAGGCUGACAUGGUGCUGCUGCUGGAGGCCGGGCGCCUCGUCCGGGCCGGGCCUCCCUCUGAGAUCCUGCCAUUGGUACAAGCUGCCCCCAGAGCCUGGGCUGAGGAUGGACAAGAGUCUGACCCAGCCACAGCCUGGUCCAUGGAGAACCCAAAGAAGACAAAGGAGGGGCUGGAGGUGGAGGAGAGCGCAUCUGGCCAGCUGCGGCAGGAGGAAAGCAAGAAGGAGGGCGCCGUGGCCUUCCAUGUGUACCGUGCCUACUGGAGGGCCGUGGGCUGGGGCAUGGCUCUCGCCAUCCUCUUCUCUCUGCUUCUCAUGCAAGCCACCAGGAACACGGCCGACUGGUGGCUCUCCCACUGGAUCUCUGAGCUGAAGGCAGCCAAGAAUAGCUCCCAGGAGGCGCCAGCCCCCACCAGGCUGGGCUCUGCGGGGCCGCUGUCUGCCCAGCUGCUCCUCUUCUCCCCCGGGAGCCUCUACACCUCAGUGUUCCCACUGCCCAAAGCUGCCCCCAACGGCUCCUCAGACCUCCGUUUCUACCUCACCGUGUACGCGACCAUCGCUGGUGUCAACUCCCUCUGCACCCUUCUCCGGGCUAUACUCUUCGCGGCGGGCACCCUCCGAGCAGCCGCCACCCUGCAUCGCCGCCUCCUGGGUCGAGUCCUCAUGGCUCCGGUGACUUUCUUUGACUCCACACCCACGGGCCGGGUCCUCAACCGCUUCUCCUCUGACGUGGCCUGUGCGGAUGACAGCCUGCCCUUCAUCCUCAACAUCCUGCUGGCCAACGCAGCAGGCCUGCUGGGGCUCCUGGCUGUGCUGGGCUUCAGCCUGCCCUGGCUGCUGCUGCUGCUGCCGCCUCUGAGCGUCAUCUACUAUCGCGUGCAGAGCCACUACAGGGCCUCCUCGCGGGAGCUGCGGCGCCUCGGCAGCCUCAGCCUGUCUCCCCUCUAUACCCACCUGGCCGACACCUUGGCCGGCCUCCCUGUGCUCCGGGCCGCCGGGGCCACCUACAGGUUUGAGGAGGAGAACCAGAGGCUCCUGGAGCUCAACCAGAGGUGCCAGUUUGCUGCCAGUGCCACGAUGCAGUGGCUGGACAUCCGGCUACAGCUCAUGGGGGCCGCAGCGGUCAGCGCCAUCGCGGGCAUCGCUCUGGUGCAGCACCAGCAGGGCCUCGCCAACCCAGGACUGGUGGGCCUGUCGCUGUCCUAUGCCCUGUCCCUGACAGGCCUGCUCUCAGGGUUAGUGAGCAGCUUCACGCAGACAGAAGCCAUGCUGGUGAGCGUCGAGCGGCUGGAGGAGUACUCCUGUGACCUGCCCCAGGAGCCCCGGGGCCAGCAGCCACAGCUGGGCAUCGGCUGGUUGAGCCAGGGGAGCGUGGAGUUCCAGGAUGUGGUGCUGGUGUACCGGCCUGGGCUGCCCAACGCCCUGGAUGGGGUGACCUUCCGCGUGCAGCCUGGAGAGAAGCUGGGCAUCGUGGGCCGCACGGGCUCCGGCAAGUCUUCCCUGUUGUUGGUGCUCUUCCGGCUGCUGGAGCCCAGUUCCGGGCGAGUGCUGCUGGACGGCGUGGACACCAGCCAGCUGGAGCUGGCCGAGCUCAGAUCCCAGCUGGCGAUCAUCCCCCAGGAGCCCUUUUUGUUCAGCGGGACUGUUCGGGAAAACCUGGAUCCCCGGGGCCUGUAUGAGGAUGGGGCCCUAUGGCAGGCGCUGGAGCAGUGCCACCUGAGUGAGGUGAUCGAGUCUAUGGAUGCUGUGCUUUGCAGGUGGUCUGGAUGGUGAGCUGGGCGAGGGGGGCCGGCGCUUAUCUCUGGGGCAGAGGCAGCUGCUGUGUCUGGCCAGGGCUCUCCUCACAGAUGCCAAGAUCUUGUGCAUUGAUGAGGCCACAGCAAGCGUGGACCAGAAGACAGACCAGCUGCUCCAGCAAACCAUCAGCAAACGGUUUGCCAACAAGACAGUGCUGACCAUCGCCCACAGGCUCAACACGAUCCUGAACUCCGACCGGGUGCUGGUGCUGCAUGCAGGGAGAGUGGCAGAGCUGGGCUCCCCUGCCGCCCUGCGCACCCAGCCCCACUCGCUGUUCCAGCAGCUGCUGCAGAGCAGCCCGCGGGGAGCACGCUCCUCUCCGUGAGGGCCCAGCCCCCACUGCCAAUGGUUUACACUCCUCCGUGUCUCUACCUCUCCCCCUCCUCCACAGAGGGGAAAGGGCGCCCUGGGCUCCUCUUCACAAGCCACUCUGUGUGUGGGCAGAGUCCCGUGGCUUCCCCAGAGGCAGGCCUCUGCUCUGGCGCUCCGGCAUCUGGGACUCCAAGUGGACUUUUUCUGGCAAAGGAGCCCACGUGCACUUCCGUAGUUUUAUUUGAUAAAAUUCCCAUUUUUACAUUCUGUGUAUUAAAAAAAUAAUAUUUGUGG